CAAGUGUGAAGCUUAGGAUAUUUUAUUAUUUAACUUAAAAAUCAGCAUAAAUCAGCCCAUUAUCCCUCCAAAAAUUUGGUCAAGCAAGGAAGAGAGGGAAAGAAAGGAAGAACAAACCCUAGGUGAAGAAUUUGAAGAGAAAAAAUGUGGAAAAUCAAGGAAAACAAGUGAAAAAGGUAAGAUUUUUCAACUUAAGCUCGAAAUCUAUUUUCCUUAAGCAUUUCUCCUUAUUUUUCAUGCUUAAAUUACAUGUUUUCAUGAUGAAUUCAUGGCUGAGCAAAAUGGGUAAGGAGAGAGAAAGAUGUUGAAUUGAUUUGAUUUUGAGAUAUGUUAGUGUUUUUAGUUAGUUUAGCAUAUUUAGAAACAAAACAACAAGAAAAGAAUUCAUUUUCUCCCACAACCAUCAAUAGCCGAAUUUACCAUGUGUUGAGUGAGGAUGAAUUUGAUUUUUAUUCUAGGAGAAUUGGUUAGAAAAUGAUGAAUUAUGGUGUGAAAAAGUAGUAGGAAAAAUCACGGUGUUAAUGCACCAUUAUUGGCCAAAAAUUUUAAGAAGAAAAGUAUAGACAGUUUUGCCAAAUUUUAGGUUAUUUGAUUUGAGUUUGGUGAAUUAAGAUAUUGGAAAAGAAUUGGAACAAUUUGGAGUAAUUUGGGAUUAAAUCGGACGCGUUAGUAAUUUAAUCGAGUGAUAGGACGAAUUAGGCCAAUACCGAAUUUAGAUAGUUAUCAGUGCAUUUUUGCAUUCCAUACCAUGCAUUAGUAGUCUAAAUUAGUUUAAUUUCAAUUUAGUACCAAUGUAGUAAGUUUCUCGAUUUUGUACUGUGUCAAGGUGGUGAGUCCUCCAAUAAAGGUAAAAAAAUUACACCCGAAGACCAGUAGUCUGAGUAUUUCGAGAAUCUGCACUCUAGACAUUGUGAGUAAACUUAUUGUCAUUUUAAUUAUCUAGGAUGGUUUUUAGAUGAUUUCAUGAAUUCUAUGGAAAAAGGAAUUUAAAAAGGUAAAUUUUCAUGUUUUAUGAAUAAAUAUGUUUCAAUGAAAUUAAUUUAUAAAUUGUUUUGAAAUUAAUAAUGAUGUUGAAAAAUAGAGUACACGGAGACUGUUAAUUGUUGGAAUUCGAUUGUUUAAAUUGAUUGGCUUAUGAUAAAUCGAGCAUGAUUGGCUAGCUGGCAAUUAUAUUGAAAUACGAAUUAUUUGUUUACCUUGAAAGACUGUGAAUAAAAUAAUUGUCAUGUCAUGCUAUUGUAAAUUUUAUUGAAUUGGUGGAUUAUAUAUUAAUUAAUCACUGCAAUAGGGGGUUUCUGUGGACCAGCCUUUUAGAGGGGUAACUAUCGAUCGGAGAGGCGCGUAGGGUAUCUCCUGGGGUAAAGUUUAAGGUUCACUUCACGCUAAACCACCACGUGAGGGUGAACUCAGCCAACGCCAAGGAACGGCUGUGAUGUCCAACGAAAAAUGUGUUUUAUGUGAAAUGUGAAUUUUUAACAGCCUUGGCGAUCUCGGUAGGAUGCCUCGGCCAAGGUGUCCCCGAGGAUGGAUUUAUGGCACAAGCCUAGUUUUUAUGAGAUUCAUAAGCCUCUUUACGUAUUUUGAAUGAAAUGUGUUCUAAUGUUGUGACCCAAUUUACGAUGAUUUAUUUUAUUGUCUCCAUGUACUCAACUCUAGAUGUUUAUGAUGAUGUCUGUUUACUCACUAAGAUUUUAUAAUCUCACCACCCUCCUUUCCAUCCAUUUCAAGCUCAGAUUAGACUGUAGAUAGCUGAUCUCAUCGAGGACUAUUGUGAGAUUUGCAUUCUCUAAACCAUAGGUUCACAGUCCUCUUUACUUUUAGUCAUUCAGGGGUCCACUGGUUAUUGUAAAUUAAAUAUCAUACUCUAGUUAUGUGUACUACUGUAUGUAGAAAUUUAUUUUGCUUUUACGCUGUAAAAAAAUUAUUUACGCAGUGUUUUAAAAA
rnacentral:lncRNA from 1 species